UGUUGUGUUAAGCAUAUAGUUGACAUAUGGCUAACACACUACUCUGGGAUAUGUUGGAUUUCGAAAAGGUGUUGUUGAAUUAUAUUACUCUGGAUUGUUUUUUGAAAACGAGAACUCACCUAAACUUAACUAGUUAUUGUAUUUGUUGGAUAUGUAUGUACUUUGGCUUUGGGAUUACUGUGUUUCGAAUGUUGAUCUUUGGUUGUGUUAAGAUGCUAGUCCUAUAUGGUGUCUAGUAAUCUUAGAGUUAGGGGUUGUUCAGAUUUUAACAUAUACAUUGUUUUAGACCCGUCGACUGCUCGUGCUUCGGAGUCUAUGCAGGGUUAGCUGUUUGCCAAGAUUUACGUGGAUAAGCAAGCAGUUUAUGAUUUGAAAGCUGGUCCACUCCGAUUCUUUUGAUUCUUCGGAGGUUUUUAUGUUAUUUAACUAGUUACUGUUUUCGAACUCUUAGACCGCAGUAGAACUAGUUUAUUUAUUACAUCUGAUAUUACACUUUGGAAUUGUCGAUAUAUUCGAUUAUUUA